rnacentral:rRNA from 1 species
UACGGAGGAUGCGAGCGUUAUCCGGAUUUAUUGGGUUUAAAGGGUGCGCAGGCGGAUUUUUAAGUCAGCGGUCAAAUCGUGGGGCUCAACCCCAUCCAGCCGUUGAAACUGUGUGACUGGAGUGCAGGAGAGGUAAGCGGAAUUCCUGGUGUAGCGGUGAAAUGCGUAGAUAUCAGGAGGAACACCAGUGGCGAAGGCGGCUUACUGGACUGUAACUGACGUUGAGGCUCGAAAGCGUGGGGAGCAAACAGG